AUGCUCCUUGCUACUCUUGUUGUGACCAUCACCUACCAAGCUGGACUUGAUCCACCGGGCGGCCUCUGGCAGGACGAUCAAUAUGGGCAUAAGAUUGGCCAUCCGGUGCUCCAAACGACACAUCCAACUCGUUACAGAGUGUUCUUCUACAGUAAUUCGGCAACUUUCGUCACAUCCUUGGUCGUCAUCAUGAUGCUCCAAAGCAGAUUUUUGCUCAAGCGACACACACUUGAAGCAGCUCUGGUGCUGGACCUUUUUGGUCUCAUCACUGCCUAUGGCGCCGGGAGCACCAGGGAUGUAAAGUCAUCCAUCUACAUUGUUGCCUUGGCGGGGCUUGUCCUCGUCUAUGUCAUCGUCCAUAUCACCAUAAGAGACCAUGAUCCUGAGCCAGCGGAUGAUGCCGCAGUGAAGGAUUUG
rnacentral:rRNA from 1 species